UGAUAUGCCACUAUUAGAAACACAACUCA
rnacentral:piRNA from 1 species